UAAGUACUUCCUCCGGUCCAAAAUUCUUAUCUUAGCUUUGUCUGGAAAUGAAUGUAUCUAAAUACUAAAACUUGACUAGAUACAUUUAUAUCUAGACAAAUCUAAGACAAAAAUUUUGAAACGGAGGGAGUAUUAA
rfam:Hordeum vulgare subsp. vulgare, WGS project CAJW01000000 data, contig: morex_contig_5645